rnacentral:rRNA from 1 species
AUUGAACGCUGGCGGCAGGCCUAACACAUGCAAGUCGAACGAGUGGCGGACGGUUGAGUAAUGUCUGGGAAACUGCCUGAUGGAGGGGGAUAACUACUGGAAACGGUAGCUAAUACCGCAUACCAUCAGAUGUGCCCAGAUGGGAUUAGCUUGUUGGUGGGGUAACGGCUCACCAAGGCGACGAUCCCUAGCUGGUCUGCGAGGAGGACCAGCCACACGGGAAAUGAGACACGGUCCAGACGCCUACGGGAGGCAGAAGUGGGGAAGAGUGCACAAGGGGCGCAAGCCGGAUGCAGCCAUGCCGCGUGUAUGAAGAAGGCCUGCGGGUUGUAAAGUACUUUCAGCGGGGAGGCGUUACCCGCAGAAGAAGCACCGGCUAACUCCGUGCCAGCCGCGGCGGUAAUAC